CAAUAAUCUACAUCGGGGUCGGAGUUAUACUGGCUGUUGUCGUAAUAGUUCAAGCUAUAUGUUUCUACGUAUACAUUAAGAAUGUGAAGGCGACUCGUCAUACCAUUGAAACAAUCAUCCGGUCUAAUGGCACUGGCAGGAGUGACAAUAGUGCAGUGCGUUAUUCCAUGGCUCCAGAAUUAAAUGCAAAAAGAACUUAUAGCGCUGACUCGAAUUUAUACGAAAUAAUACCUGAAACAGACACAGGAAAAAAGCCACCUCCGCCACCUUUGGAGACUCUACCCCGAAAAAAAUUGCCGCCUCCGCCAACUAUAGGGCCGCCAAAGCCGUUGAUAACUGAACGAAUACGAGUAAACUCGACAUCUUCGUCGACCAGCGCUGAAUCACUUCGACGUGAAAAGAAGUGAAGAGCCCCAAUCAGAGAACCUAAGCCCGCAAUAAACCGACCAAAACUGCCUCUACCAAACGAACUACCAGAAAAAUCAUCCACGUUACCGAAGAAACACAAUGGUUCUCCACGCUUCAACCACGAAAUUCCAUCGUCGAUGUCUAUACCAAGAAUGGGCGAAGUUAAAACCGAUAGAGUAUCCAACGUCUCUUUACCAACAAUGUCUUCGAGCCUCCCUAGACGACCGAAACGAAUGCCUCCACCCCCAAUGCUACCACCGAAGCCGCACGUGAGAAACGAUUCUGACGACUCCGACGACGAAUGGGAAAUAGAACAGCUAAAGCCAAUAAACUUGUACAACAUUUAAAAAGCUAGAUAACUAUGAAAACACUUGUUACAUACUGUAACAUUAAAAGUAUAUUAGUCAACAA